rnacentral:rRNA from 1 species
UACGUAGGCAGCGAGCGUUGUUCGGAAUUACUGGGCGUAAAGCGUGCGCAGGCGGCCUUCCAAGUCAGGGGUGAAAGCCCAGAGCUCAACUCUGGAAUUGCCUUUGAGACUGUGAGGCUUGAGUACGGGAGAGGUGAGUGGAAUUCCCAGUGUAGAGGUGAAAUUCGUAGAUAUUGGGAAGAACACCGGUGGCGAAGGCGGCUCACUGGCCCGAAACUGACGCUCAUGCACGACAGCGUGGGGAUCAAACAGG